AGAGCCUUGUAGAGACCAGCUGAAGGAACAUCUUCUCGGAGCUGAAGCUCUGAGAUGAGUGCAGAGUUUCCGGACCACAACGGAGAAGUUCCUUCACUCCAUUCAUGCCUUCUUCUCUCCGUACUCACUGUAUAGUCACAGUAUUGUAUGUCACGAAAUAAUUUAAUAAAAAAGUAAGUAAUAGUACGUAUUAUGUCAAAAAAAGCUCAGAAAAGUCAUACAUAAUGUCAAAAAGUGUUAUUACAUAGUUAUUACAUUGUUAUAACAUGUAUUAUGACAAAAAUCUAUCAAAAAGUCAAAAAAAGUGUUAUUACAUAGUUAUUACAUUGUUAUAACAUGUAUUAAUGACAAAAAAAUCUAUCAAAAAGUUUAAAAAAAUGUCAAAAAGUGUUAUUACACAGUUGUACACAGUACAUGCCAUAAAAGUGGGCGUAAAUUAUUUUUUUGUCCAUGAAAAAAAAAUUCAAAAAAAAAAUCACUUUUUUUUUUUUUUUCUUAAAUUAGGAUGUUCUCUUCCUUUGUCCUACUCUGGUCUCUUUCUUUCUCUGAGGUGUCCUACUCUUCUCUGAGGUGUCCUUCUCUGGUCUCUCCCUUUCUCUGAGUUGUUCUACUCUGGUCUCUCCCUUUCUCUGAGAUGUCCUACUCUUCUCUGAGUUGUCCUACUCUGGUCUCUCCCUUUCUCUGAGUUGUCCUACUCUGGUCUCUCCCUUUCUCUGAGGUGUCCUACUCUGGUCUCUCCCUUUCUCUGAAGUGUCCUACUCUUCUCUGAGUUGUCCUACUCUGGUCUCUCCCUUUCUCUGAGGUGUCCUACUCUUCUCUGAGUUGUCCUACUCUGGUCUCUCCCUUUCUCGGAGGUGUCCUACUCUUCUCUGAGUUGUCCCACUCUGGUCUCUCCCUUUCUCUGAGUUGUCCUACUCUGGUCUCUCCCUUUCUCGGAGGUGUCCUACUCUUCUCUGAGUUGUCCUACUCUGGUCUCUCCCUUUCUCUGAGUUGUCCUACUCUGGUCUCUCCCUUUCUCGGAGGUGUCCUACUCUUCUCUGAGUUUUCCUACUCUGGUCUCUCCCUUUCUCUGAGUUUUCCUACUCUGGUCUCUGCCUGUCCUUGUCUUAAUACUCUCCUACUCUCUUCUUGCCUGCACUUCCUUUCCUAGCCUCUCUUUCCUAUCUGGGGGCCUAUCUAAGUGCACAUACGCUGAUACCGAGCUGGUCUUGAACCCGUCACUGGCGCCUUUAGUGGCGAGGACAAACCAACCGCGCCACCAGCGCACGUACGCAUGCAGCUGUUCUCCGGGUGUAUUUGUCUUUGUCAUUCUGGGUGUAAAGCUCAAAAUAAAUUGACUGUUCUUGUGUUGGAACCCAUAACCUUUGUGUUUCUUAACCAGCGUUCCAUCACUCUGAGCUAUCAGAUCUGAUCACCAAGCUCAUGGUUAGUUGUGUAUUUGUCUUUGUCAUUCUGGGUGUAAAACUCAAAAUAAAUUGUUUAUUCCUGUAUUGGAACCCAUAA